AGUAAAGUCCAUAAUAGUACAGUUCCACAAAAAACAAAGAGCACAGUUUUGAUAUUUAUAUUAAAGUUUGGAAAAGUUUGUAAUAGCAUUUAGAAACCCUAGUUCCUUUGCCUGUCCUAUAUAAUGAUGCUUUAUCAAUCCUUCUCAUUCUCAACUCAACCUGUUGCGGCUGAGAUGAAGGGAGUUCACAACGAUGAACAAGAGGAUGACGACGGUUAUGAUGAUGAAAUCUGUUUUCAACAUGAGUCUUCUUGAUGGAUUCUUCAGAUCAAUUGAAUCAAUGAGUUACCAAGUUUAUGAUCAUGGUUCCCAGUUAAAAAAAAAAAAAAAAAAAAAAAAGAAGAAGAAAAAGAAAAGAUGAAACACGGACUUUGGAAAGCAAAAGGUGAAGCCCGUGACACAUUUGCAAAUUCUGCUAUCCGUGGUUGGAGAACCACUUUUGAAUUUUCGGAAGUCCAAGCCCUUACAGGACAGAA